CCGGCGCACGGGUGCGUAACGCGUAUGCAAUCUACCUUAUACAGGGGAAUAGCCCAGGGAAACUUGGAUUAAUGCCCCAUAGUAUCAUUAAGUAGCAUUACUUGAUGAUUAAAGAUUUAUUGGUAAAAGAUGGCUAUGCGUCCUAUUAGCUAGAUGGUAAGGUAACGGCUUACCAAGACAGCGAUGGGUAGGGGCCCUGAGAGGGGGAUCCCCCACACUGGUACUGAGACACGGCCCAGACUCC
rnacentral:rRNA from 1 species